CGGGCGGGAGCUGCGCAGCCCCCGGCCCGGCCGCCUCCAGCAGCGCCCCGGGGAGCGGCCGCUGCUCGCCCGGCGCCCGCCCUGCAGCUUCCACCUGCUGCACCGCGACCGGCCGGUGCCGGCCCGGCGGGAGGGGCCGAGCCGCUUCCAGGAGCUGUACGGGGAGCGGCCGCCGCCCGCCCAGCGGGAGGUGCUGGGGAUCCCGCCCUGCGAACUGUUCGGGCUCCACGGGGAGCCGCUGCUGCCGCUCGGGCGGGAGGGACCCCCCAGCCGCUUGCAGGAGCUGUACGGGGGGCAGCUGCCUCCUCUCGACCGGGAGGUGCUCCGGCUCCAGCCCUGCAGCUUCCAGCAGCUGCACAGGGAGCAGCAGCCCUCGGCCUUCGACCCACGAGGUAGGAAACCUUGCUUUUCCAAAAGGUCAGGAAAAGUGACCGCUUAAGUAUUUUUCCACGAGGCUCUGUCAUUCUCGGUCAGAAAUUGUCAAGCCUAUUAGGAAGCGGCACCUCGAAGGCUGCCAAAAAAUUCUCUGCCUGCUUUUCCUGCAUGCUUCCUGUGAUGGUUAAUCCAAGGCAGCAGUAGAGAUCUGUGUCCCAGAGCCACAUUGUGGAGCCUGACCAACGUGUUUGGAUUCUUGCAGCCACCCCGGGCACUUCUGCACCCAGCGCUCCAGCUGGCAGUGCUGCUUGUGCAGCAUCGACGGCCUCCAGCUCAGGACACAACGCACCUGGGGCAGAGGGAUGGCCACCAGCAGAUCUCGGCCUUGCCAUAGAGAAAAUGAUCCGGGAGAUCAGGAGAUCCCUGCCCGAAAGGUCUCCCUCUGCUCAGGAUGAUGUUAGUGUUGCCCCUGAGUCUUCAGGAGGGGAGCCUGUAGACAGAGCUGCAGCAGAGGAAAUUUCAUCUGACACGGAGAGCUGCAGGAACAGUUCCCCAGAGCCCGAGGAGCCUGAUCCCAUGUGAUCGACCUCUCCAGGAGGGCUGGCCUGUGUAGCAGGAAGAGACAGAGGGAGAGCCUGGAACGUCGGGCAAGUUGACUUCCUCUGUCUCUAGUUAUAUUUAUAGAUGUAUAUAGUUAUCUUUGUUUAUCUAGGUAGUUGUAUUUAUAGAUUUAUGUAAUUAUAUUUAUGUAUCUACACAGAUAGAGAUCUGCACAGUUAAUUUCUUUUUCAUUUUAGAUGUUUAUCGUUAUAGCUUUAGAUGUGUUUUUGUAGGUGUGCACGUUUUCAUUUAUACGUGUGUAUAAUUACAUGUACAUAUAUAUAUUUCUAAAUGCAUAUUUCUAUUUUAUAUGGGGUUUUAGCUACAUAGAUUGAUAUGUGUGUGAGCCUCUUUUUAAGCUCUUACCCUGGUCUGCUUCCUCGCUCACCUCUGGCUUUUCCCCCUGUGCCCCCUGUGUCCCCUCUCCCUGGGCUGGGUCCG